GGAAGUGAAGGCAAUCUGGCUGCAUCUGUCACCCCACUGAUCACCAGGGUUGACGGGGCUGGUCUGGCUGGAUAACUGGGUGUCCCCUUCAUCCCUCACUGCUCCACGUGCAUCUGUCCUAAAGCUGCACACUCAGUCCAAGAGGACCGCCAUACCCUGCGGAAGAGGCCCGGUCUUCAGUCAAGUGUACAUGAGUAGUUGCGCUCCCUGCUAAAACCUUCAAACAAGCUCUCGAGAUGAUGGAGGAAGACCCAAAGGCCAUUAACAAUAAAACUCAUUGAAUAGUUAGGCAAAAAAUU
rnacentral:snRNA from 1 species